GACGAACGCUGGCGGCGUGCUUGACACAUGCAAGUCGAACGGAAAGGCCUGCUUUCCCUUGUGGAUUGCGGGUACUCGAGUGGCGAACGGGUGAGUAACACGUGAGUGAUCUGCCCCCAACUUGGGUAUAAGCCUGGGAAACUGGGUCUAAUUCCCGAUAGGACUGCAGGGUGGUGCCUGUGGUGGAAAACGAUUUUCUAGUGGUUGGGGAUGAGCUCGCGGCCUAUCAGCUUGUUGGUGGGGUAAUGGCCUACCAAGGCGGCGACGGGUAGCCGGCCUGAGAGGGUGGACGGCCACAUUGGGACUGAGAUACGGCCCAGACUCCUACGGGAGGCAGCAGUGGGGAAUAUUGCACAAUGGGCGGAAGCCUGAUGCAGCGACGCCGCGUGGGGGAUGACGGCCUUCGGGUUGUAAACUCCUUUCGACCGCGAGGAAGCCACCUGGUUGGAAGGGUGGUGACGGUAGUGGGAGAAGAAGCACCGGCUAACUACGUG
rnacentral:rRNA from 1 species